rnacentral:lncRNA from 1 species
AUGCAUCUGACGGUGAAAGUGGUAAUAAAUGCUUGCAUACAUGAGAUACCUCUGCGUCUCUGUCUUGAAGAUGACAAUUGUCUGUUAUACCCGUCCUGUGCUGAGAAUAUAUUUUUCUUGUCCUGUCCGUUAUUUUUAUUGUGCUACCUGUGAAUUUUCUGGUACAUAUAUUUAAUGAAUGUAACUGGAAUCUGAGCCAGGUCAUUACUGUUACCCCUAAUACAGUAUUCAGGUAUUUUGAAGAAACAAGUUUAAGCCUUUAGGUUUACAGAUAGUAGACCUAAUAAGAAGGGGUAACUUCUGGAUCAUAGAGAAUAUUUCAAUGGAUUAUUAAAUUUUCACCUGCAUAUCCAGUGGGCAUUAUUUUGUUCGGAUGAUUUGAUUCUCUUAAAAUUUCUUAUUGUUCCUCUGUUUAUUGCAUCAAAUCAGGCGAACGCCAGUUCUUGCACAGGGAAGCGAUGGAUGUGGAAUAGAGCUUGUGAAGAAGAGUUCAGCAGAGAAGUUAAGUGAUGGUUGAAGGAAGGUCCUGUGGAUGUCAAUAGUGUUAACUGAAUGUCAUGAAAUUGCAUCAACCAAGCAAUCUUGUGACAUUAUUUUUUCUCCUGUAUUCUUUCCGGCUGGAUUUGUACCUCUCCAUUCUCUUCAAUUUCCACUCUGUAACAUACACACGGCCUAACAUUUUAUCCACGCAGCCACUUAAUUUUGGCCUUUUUAGGUAGUCAGAAACUUUUGUAGACGGGGAUAUUCUUAAUCAGCAAAUUGUUUCAUUUACAAGUUUGGACCAUACUGUACAAUUAUGCAUGACAGCAGACGUCGUGUUAAUAGUUUAAAGAUAUCUGAUGUUAAUGACACAAUUCUGCCCUUUCUGAGGCUAUAGGUUUCCUGUUCUCAAAUCUCAACUAAAAAAGCAAGCUUAAUUGCAUCAAAUCCUGCAAUUCAGAACAUAGAAUGAAACAGUCUUUGUUAAUAAAUGUCCACCUAAAGUUAAUAAAAACAUGGAGCAUAUCUCAGUGGCAGUGGCAUUAAUCUUUCCACUUACAUUCUGAGCACUGCUGAUGCAAAAAGUUGCACCAAGUUUGGUUGAUUCCUUAGAAAUUGUUAAAGAGAUUUGUUCACUACUACACUAAACUCAGCUAGUUUGUGUAAUUGCUGAGGUUGCAGGCUAAGAUCAGAUGUUAGGCUUUUCUAAGGUGAUAGAUGUAUUCAGUGACAAACAUAUGCUUGCUAAGCAGGCUGCUCAUCCUUCAAUGAUGCAGCGAAAUCUGCAAAUAGGUCAGCUAUCCUAGCAUCAUAAGCAGGUCCCUCCAUUUCAAAGUGGCUAACUCCAAGAAUUAGAUGUGCCUGAACACGUCCAACAGCAGACGUUAGCUUCUUCUCUAACUGUUCUACGCUCGUGAACUCAUCGUUGGUGCCCAUAAUGAAAAGUUUUGGUUUGCGAGACCGUAAAAUCGCCCUGUGGUGCCUCCCAAAAAGAAAAGAGGCAGCCAAUCCAAAAGGGUAACCAAUACUCGCAUAUCCAAUGACUUCCUCUACCUUGUCAACAGCAGAACCAGAGAUUGGAGCUCCUGCAGCCAGCCAACCAAGGAACACACAUAAAAAUUUCUUGGUCAU